GUUAACUAAACCACAGCACCAAGUGCCCUGUCCAGUCAUUUCUUGAACACUUCCAGGGAUGGUCACUGAGAACCUUUUGAUGUAGCCUUGGACUUGCCUGGAGUACUGAGGAGGGAUGGACAACCCCAUGUUCAAUGAACACAGCAGCUCAGAGUGUUUCACUGGUAUGGAAGAUGAAUUGCUGCCAGAGUGAAGCUAUGGUUCCUGCAGUCUGGCAUGCAUCCGUAGCCCUCUAAGUUUCACUGCUUUCCACAGAUCAGUAAAAGCUCUUGAAAUGCCCUUCUGCAGCUUGCAACACAAAGGAAAAACAACAUAUGCACAGAAGAAAGAGGAACUCCUCCUAAGCUGAAUCAACACAGCUUGUCUUUUCCCAAAAGACAAGGAAAAAAAACAGUUCUUAAGGAAGAUUUUAGAUACCAAAGCAGUCAGAACUGUUCCAGGGGCCUCAAGUGUGUACCAAGGCCAGGGUGCCUGGGAUAUGGUCCAGGUGAUCCUCUGGACAGGGUCUGCUGGCUGAAGGAGAAGGCCAGAUCUGGAGCUGUGAAGAUUUAUGGGAAAGGUUUGCCCAGCCGUGCUUCAAGGUGGUAGCAGAGAUCAAUCUCCAGCUCUCCUGAAUUAAAGGUACACUCUCCCUGACUACUUGGGAUUCCACUGUCCCUGAUGGGUAUGGGAUGGGAACAGGUGAUCAUGCAGUAAACCUUCCAGGCAUGAUCAUACAGUUCUUCCAGUGAACAGCUCCUGGUGUUUAGAGAGAGCUAGGAGUAGCUCCUGAUGAUCCUGUUCUGGCUGAAAAUUCUGAAGUAAUCAUUCUCUAUAACCUCUCUUUUGUUACCCAGAACCAGUCGUCUACGACCCCCUGACUCUGUCCAGGAUUAGCGGCAAUCUUCCAUUCUUUGCUGGUAACAAAAGAGAGGGGCAAGUAGAAAAAAAGAAGAAAUUAAGUAAAACAAGUGGAUCAAAACUCA